CCCCACUCCCCUCAACCACACAAUCUCACCAAUAUCACCUCAUAUCUCACCCUCUUGGCCGGUCACCUCUCUACUCAUUUGCUUCUGUCUUUUUCUCAACAACACAUACACUCCUCUUCCCCACUCUCCCACCAGUACACUCCAAAGCACCACCUCCACCAUUAUUUUUCCGGCAAGGAUCACUAGAAAACUUCAUAGGAAAAGCUAAGGCUCACUCAUCUCUACUUUUUGAGAGUAGGCAACUAUCGUUUUGAGACAGCUUUUUGGUGGCUAGCAAUAGUUAGACAAACUGCUAAUGGAGGCUGACUUUUGUGAUGGAGAUAAUUGAUGAUGUAUAACUUAGAGUAGGCUUGACUCAAUUCUUUUGUAUCUAAUAGUGGUUAUGACUUUAUUUCCACUAAUGGGAUAAGUUGAUGAUAUGUAAUUAUUUAUUCAGGCCUCCAUUCUUUUGUGGCUAAGGGUUAUUGUAUUUAUUGCAUAGAGCUCUAACUUACUUUGGGAGUAUAUUUAAUGAAACUAGUCACUAACCCGUGCAAUGCACGGAUUAGUUGAACAAAAAUUUUAAAUU